AUACGUAGGGAGCGAGCGUUGUCCGGAAUGAUUGGGCGUAAAGGGUGCGUAGGCGGCCCCCCAAGUCAGCGGUGAAAUGUCCGGGCCCAACCCGGAGGGUGCCGUUGAUACUGUGGGGCUGGAGUACGGACGCCGGCGGAGGAAUGAGUGGUGUAGCGGUGAAAUGCAUAGAUAUCACUCAGAACACCGAUUGCGAAGGCAUCCGCCGAGGCCGUUACUGACGCUGAGGCACGAAAGCGUGGGGAUCAAACAGGAUUAGAUACCCUGGUAGUCCACGCAGUAAACGAUGAUCACUAGCUGUUUGCGAUACACUGUAAGCGGCACAGCGAAAGCGUUAAGUGAUCCACCUGGGGAGUACGCCGGCAACGGUGAAACUCAAAUGAAUUGGCGGGG
rnacentral:rRNA from 1 species